rnacentral:rRNA from 1 species
UACGUAGGGUGCAAGCGUUAAUCGGAAUUACUGGGCGUAAAGCGUGCGCAGGCGGUGAUGUAAGACAGAUGUGAGAUCCCCGGGCUCAACCUGGAACUGCAUUUGUGACUGCAUCGCUGGAGUGCGGCAGAGGGGAUGGAAUUCCGCGUGUAGCAGUGAAAUGCGUAGAUAUGCGGAGGAACACCGAUGGCGAAGGCAGCUCGCUGGGACGGUACUGACGCUGAGACGCGAAAGCGUGGGGAGCAAACAGG